UUUUUUUUUUGUGUUGUCGCAUAUUUGCACAUUUGUAGUUCGGAAAAUCGCCCGUAGAUGGCCGGGAGCUUUUCCAUGCGGCUGCUCAUUAACAGGGUGGCGCGUUCUAUGGUAUCUCAUUAAAAAUGCGCUUCACAGUUUGCUUUUGGCUUAAAUGCAUUGGAUGGGGAUGCGAGGACGAGUUGUUCAUCUAUUAUUUGAUCUCAACUCAGUCAGCAGCAGGUGGCGACAACUAACAGCAACACAGAUAGAUGUAUUUAGUAUGCAUGACGAAGAAUUGACAAGGAGACGUGGGCACACCGGCGAGCAAGAUGAAGAGCAAGAGGCAGAGAAGAAGCGAAGAGAAGCGAGCAAAAGUUUGAAGCUAAUGUAUUUUUAUUAUUUUUGCGCUUUGCAUUUGAAAUGCAGUUGCGAUGCUUUCAGCAAUGUCUCAAAUGUUAUUAUAAUACGACUAUUGUUUUUCCUUUCUG